GGGGGCGUUCCGGAAUCGACGGAGGCCUUUGCGGAAGGCGAGCAGCGAGUCGGGGCUUGCGACCCCGUACCAACCGCAACCUUCAAUAAGUGCCAAAGAAGAAGAUUCCUUCGACGGCGAACUUGUGCUGGAGGCCGCUGCCUAACCUCUUUUAGGCGGCCGACUUUCGGCAACCACCUGGCUUUUCCUGCCGAAACCAGCGUGGUAAUGGAGGCAGGUUACCUGGCGGAAAGCCUGUAAACCGUCGGGGAGCGUACAGCAGGCUGGAUCGUAGGUUCACCUGGCUCCGGGGCGGCCGCGAUCGAAAAUAAACCGGAGCUGCGCUCGGAGAGACUCGCCGCACGUGACCUCCGGACGCGGGUUCGACUCCCGUCGCCUCCACCA
rnacentral:tmRNA from 1 species